rnacentral:tRNA from 1 species
GGGCCGAUGGUCCAGUUGGUUAAGACGCCGCCUUGACGAACCGCAAAUCGCAGGUUCGAGUCCUGCUCGGCCCA